rnacentral:rRNA from 1 species
UACGUAGGUGGCAAGCGUUGUCCGGAUUUACUGGGCGUAAAGAGCGCGCAGGCGGUCGGAUAAGUCGAAUGUGAAAGCCCCCGGCUCAACUGGGGAGGGUCAUUCGAUACUGUUCGACUCGAAGGCAGGAGAGGGAAGUGGAAUUCCCGGUGUAGUGGUGAAAUGCGUAGAUAUCUAUCGGAAUGCCGAAAGUGAAGACAGCCCGCUGGGGCUUUCCUGACGCUGAGGCACGAAAGCGUGGGGAGCAAACGGG